rnacentral:rRNA from 1 species
GGUUAAGUGACUAAGCGUACACGGUGGAUGCCUAGGCAAUCAGAGGCGAAGAAGGACGUGCUAAUCUGCGAAAAGCUUGGAUGAGUUGAUAAGAAGCGUUUAAUCCAAGAUAUCCGAAUGGGGAAACCCGAUGGAUGAAGAAUCCAUCAUUUCAUUAUGAAUCCAUAGUAAUGAAAGGCAAACCGGGAGAACUGAAACAUCUAAGUACCCCGAGGAAAAGAAAUCAACCGAGAUUUUGUCAGUAGCGGCGAGCGAAAACGAAAGAGCCAGCAAGUGAUAGCAGCAAAGACAGAAGAAUUGGCUGGGAAGCCAAGCGACACAGGGUGAUAGCCCCGUAUUUUAAGUUUAUGUUGUGGUACUAAACUUGCAACAAGUAGGGCGGGACACGAGAAAUCCUGUUUGAAGAUGGGGGGACCAUCCUCCAAGGCUAAAUACUCCUG